UGAAACUUGUGGACAGAGAAAUAUGGGCACUGAAGGGAAGGUGGACGUGAAAGGAUGUGAGCUGGUGGGAAAGCAGCAGCUGUUGGCAGCAGAGGAGAGGGCAAAACUGGCUGAGAAAGAGACAAAACAGCACAAGAGAAGACUUGAAGAAUGUCAUGGGCAAAUGCGGGAAGCAGAG